AAGCGAAACACGGCUUAGGCCGUGUCUGCCCAGCGUGGUGACUGGGUACUGAUGAGCAGCCUAAG
rnacentral:hammerhead_ribozyme from 1 species